CCUACGGGUGGCAGCAGUGGGGAAUAUUGGGCAAUGGGCGCAAGCCUGACCCAGCAACGCCGCGUGAAGGAAGAAGGCCCUCGGGUUGUAAACUUCUUUUAUCAGGGACGAAACAAAUGACGGUACCUGACGAAUAAGCCACGGCUAACUACGUGCGAGCAGCCGGGGUAAUACGUAGGUGGCAAGCGUUAUCCGGAUUUACUGGGUGUAAAGGGCGUGUAGGCGGGUCUGCAAGUCAGAUGUGAAAGCUCAUGGCUUAACCAUGGAACUGCAUUUGAAAAUGUAGAUCUUGAGUGAUGGAGAGGCAGGCGGAAUUCCGUGUGUAGCGGUGAAAUGCGUAGAUAUACGGAGGAACACCAGUGGCGAAGGCGGCCUGCUGGAAAUUAACUGACGCUGAGGCGCGAAAGUGUGGGUAUCAAACAGGAUUAGAUACCCCAGUAGUC
rnacentral:rRNA from 1 species